GAGUUUGAUCAUGGCUCAGAACGUACGCUGGCGGCACGCCUAACACAUGCAAGUCGAACGUUUAAGUAGCAAUACUUAGUGGCAGACGGGUGAGUAACAUGUGGGUAUCUGCCCUUUGGCCUGGAAUAACACGAGGAAACUUGUGCUAAUACCGGAUAAGUCUUUACGGAGAAAGCUUUAUGCACCAUUGGAUGAGCCCGCACUUGAUUAGUUUGUUGGUAGGGUAAUGGCCUACCAAGACUGUGAUCAAUAGCUGAUUUGAGAGGAUGAUC
rnacentral:rRNA from 1 species